AACGAACGCUGGCGGCAGGCUUAACACACGCAAGUCGAACGCCCCGCAAGGAGAGUGGCAGACGGAUGAGUAACGCGUGGGAACAUACCCUUUCCUGCGGAAUAGCUCUGGGAAACUGGAAUUAAUACCGCAUACGCCCUACGGGGGAAAGAUUUAUCGGGGAAGGAUUGGCCCGCGUUGGAUUAGCUAGUUGGUGGGGUAAAGGCCUACCAAGGCGACGAUCCAUAGCUGGUCUGAGAGGAUGAUCAGCCACAUUGGGACUGAGACACGGCCCAAACUCCUAUGGGAGGCAGCAGUGGGGAAUAUUGGACAAUGGGCGCAAGCCUGAUCCAGCCAUGCCGCGUGAGUGAUGAAGGCCUUAGGGUUGUAAAGCUCUUUCACCGAUGAAGAUAAUGACGGUAGUCGGAGAAGAAGCCCCGGCUAACUUCGUGCCAGCAGCCGCGGUAACAC
rnacentral:rRNA from 1 species